rnacentral:rRNA from 1 species
AUUGAACGCUGGCGGCAGGCCUAACACAUGCAAGUCGAGCGGAUGAAGGGAGCUUGCUCCUGGAUUCAGCGGCGGACGGGUGAGUAAUGCCUAGGAAUCUGCCUGGUAGUGGGGGAUAACGUCCGGAAACGGGCGCUAAUACCGCAUACGUCCUGAGGGAGAAAGUGGGGGAUCUUCGGACCUCACGCUAUCAGAUGAGCCUAGGUCGGAUUAGCUAGUUGGUGGGGUAAAGGCCUACCAAGGCGACGAUCCGUAACUGGUCUGAGAGGAUGAUCAGUCACACUGGAACUGAGACACGGUCCAGACUCCUACGGGAGGCAGCAGUGGGGAAUAUUGGACAAUGGGCGAAAGCCGGAUCCAGCCAUGCCGGGUGUGUGAAGAAGGUCUUCGGAUGGUAAAGCACUUUAAGUUGGGAGGAAGGGCAGUAAGUUAAUACCUGGCUGUUUUGACGUUACCAACAGAAUAAGCACCGGCUAACUUCGU